UUUGUUCCAUGACCAUAUCUUCGUGAGCUACGUUUUGAUAUUCAUAAGGAAACUGAUUUUCCGUAGGUGUUCGAGAAAAUGUAUAAAACUGAUCUUGCUUUGGGAAAGGUAUUCUAUGAAUGAGAAAUUAAAUGUUUUUUGUAAUAAAAAUAUUACUAUAUAUUGUUGUUUUAAUGUC